rnacentral:rRNA from 1 species
UUGACCUCAGCUCAGUCGUGAAUACCCGCUGAAUUUAAGCAUAUAACUAAACGGAGGAAAAGAAACUAACCAAACCAA